rnacentral:misc_RNA from 1 species
GGAAAAUUGGGAACUGAUGCUGUUGCCUCACUGCAAAAGUGUCAAUUGCACCUUACAGAUUCAGAACAACGUGACUUGUCACAAAAGCUUUUAGUUGACCGAGAUAAGUCUGGUGCAUGUUCUCAUUCUCUUCUGAAUGGUAUUGCUGUUGAAGUUCCAUCAUUCAGUCAAUUUGAUGAGCAUGUUGAUAAGGAAUUACAUGGUGCUCAACAAUCUACAGAUUUGUCUUGGAAUAUGAAUGGUGGUGUUAUCCCCAGUCCAAACCCUACCGCCCGCAGAAGUACCUGGUACCGAAAUAGAAGNNNNNNNNNNUUCUACAUCGUUUGGACACCCUGCGCAUGGAUGGUCAGAUGGAAGGGGUGACUUUCUCCAGAACAAUUUUGGUUAUGGAACUAAGAAGCCACGUACACAGGUCUCUU